AUUGAACGCUGGCGGCAGGCCUAACACAUGCAAGUCGAGCGCGAAAGUUUCUUCGGAAGCGAGUAGAGCGGCGGACGGGUGAGUAACGCGUAGGAAUCUACCCAGUAGUGGGGGACAACUCGGGGAAACCCGAGCUAAUACCGCAUACGCCCUAAGGGGGAAAGCAGGGGAUCUUCGGACCUUGCGCUAUCGGAUGAGCCUGCGUCGGAUUAGCUUGUUGGUGAGGUAAUAGCUCACCAAGGCGACGAUCCGUAGCUGGUCUGAGAGGAUGAUCAGCCACACUGGGACUGAGACACGGCCCAGACUCCUACGGGAGGCAGCAGUGGGGAAUAUUGGACAAUGGGGGAAACCCUGAUCCAGCCAUGCCGCGUGUGUGAAGAAGGCUCUAGGGUUGUAAAGCACUUUCAGUAGGGAGGAAAAGUUGAUAGCUAAUAACUGUCAGCCCUGACGUUACCUACAGAAGAAGCACCGGCAAACUCCGUGCCAGCAGCCGCGGUAAUACGGAGGGUGCGAGCGUUAAUCGGAAUUACUGGGCGUAAAGCGCGCGUAGGCGGUUUGAUAAGCUGGAUGUGAAAGCCCCGGGCUCAACCUGGGAACUGCAUCCAGAACUGUCUGACUAGAGUACAGUAGAGGUGAGUGGAAUUUCCUGUGUAGCGGUGAAAUGCGUAGAUAUAGGAAGGAACAUCAGUGGCGAAGGCGGCUCACUGGACUGAUACUGACG
rnacentral:rRNA from 1 species